rnacentral:rRNA from 1 species
AGAAUCAACGCUGGCGGCGUGCCUAACACAUGCAAGUCGAACGAGAAAGUGGAGCAAUCCAUGAGUAAAGUGGCGACCGGGUGAGUAACACGUGACUAACCUACCUUCGAGUGGGGGAUAACCUCGGGAAACCGAGGCUAAUACCGCAUAACAUCGCAAGAUCAAAGCAGCAAUGCGCUGGAAGAGGGGGUCGCGGCUGAUUAGCUAGUUGGCGGGGUAACGGCCCACCAAGGCGAAGAUCGGUAUCCGGCCUGAGAGGGCGCACGGACACACUGGAACUGAAACACGGUCCAGACUCCUACGGGAGGCAGCAGUGGGGAAUUUUGCGCAAUGGGGGAAACCCUGACGCAGCAACGCCGCGUGGAGGAUGAAGCCCCUUGGGGCGUAAACUCCUUUCGACCAAGACGAUAAUGACGGUACGUGGUGGAAGAAGCACCGGCUAACUCUGUGCCAGCAGCCGC